rnacentral:lncRNA from 1 species
CCUGAGGGGAAUAAUUGGUGGUACAAAGCUUGCAAGUGCAACAAAAAAGUUAUUUGGGAUGAGAAAAUGUAUUUUUGUGAUAACUGUAACCGUCAUUAUUUUUUCAUGAUCCCUAGGUAUUGAACUACCUAUUCCAUUUUGUGAAGAAAAUUAAAUUUCUUGACCAUUUAAUUUUCAUUUUUUUUUGUGAUACUAUAGGUUCCGUUUGCAAGUCAAAGUAAAGCAGGGUAAUGACAUUGCUACAUUGGUCAUAUUUGACAAAGAAGCGAGUGUUCUUCUUGAAACUACUUGUGCUGACUUGGUUGAUUCGUCAACAAAGGUAUGUGUUUAUGAGAUCAAAGUGCAAUUUUAUCAAAAAAUGUAAUACUACUGGUACUCUCUUUUUUAGCAUGUCUUAGUGCUUAAAUGUUUAAUUGGUGACAGAAUCCUGCUGGCUCUGGCUCUACAACUCCUGUUGAAUUACUUAAGUUGUUGGAAAAGACCUUUCUCUUUAGGAUUGAAGUUAACAACACUUCAAGCUACAGGU